GCCACCUUAGCUCAGUUGGUAGAGCAGUCCCUUCGUAAGGGAAAGAUCCUCGGUUCGACCCCGAGAGGUGGCUCAA
rnacentral:tRNA from 4 species